rfam:Gossypium hirsutum cultivar TM-1 chromosome 10, whole genome shotgun sequence
UGUUAAAAAUUUCAUCCAUUUUUACUGUUAAAAACUAAAAUGGCUAACAGAAUAACCAAACAGUUACACAAUACAUGCCACAUGUACCUCAUGCUGACAUUCACAGACCAAUUUUUAACAGUAAAAAUAGAUUAAAUUUGUAACU